UAGUAACGGCGAGUGAAGAGGGAAAAGCUCAAAUUUUGAAUCUGGUGUCUUUGACUCCCGAGUUGUAAUCUAGAGAAGUGUUUUCCGCGUUGGACCGUGUACAAGUUCCCUGGAACGGGGCGUCAUAGAGGGUGAGAAUCCCGUAUAUGCCACGGACUGCCAAUGCUCUGUGAUACACUCUCAACGAGUCGAGUUGUUUGGGAAUGCAGCUCAAAAUGGGUGGUAAAUUCCAUCUAAAGCUAAAUAUUGGCGAGAGACCGAUAGCGAACAAGUACCGUGAGGGAAAGAUGAAAAGCACUUUGGAAAGAGAGUGAAACAGUACGUGAAAUUGUUGAAAGGGAAGCGUUUGAAGUCAGUCAUGUCUGUCGGAAUUCAGCCUGGCUUCUGCCUGGUGUACUUUCCGUCCGACGGGUCAGCAUCAAUUUCGACCGAGGGAAAAAGACGUGAGGAAUGUGGCUGUCUUCGGGCAGUGUUAUAGCCUCGCGUUGUAUGUCUCGGUUGGGAUUGAGGAACGCAGCGCGCCUAUUGGCCGGGGGUUCGCGCCCCUCGGUACGCGCUUAGGA
rnacentral:rRNA from 1 species